rnacentral:lncRNA from 1 species
AGGGAAGGGAGUUUCUAGACAGUCUAAUCCUUGCUUAUAGUUUGCAAUGAGCUGCUUUGGACCCAGGACCACCAGAACACAAGCGGAGAAGUUCUAUCACUGCACCAGGCCUGCCCCUUCACUCUAGGAAUUGGCAAUACAAAAGAAUAAUUUUGAAUCGUUUUGACAAUGCCAAUUCCUUGUACUACAACAUAAAACUUGUAUCAAAUGCAAGUCUAAAUCAUCCAGGAUACAAAAUAUGUGAAUAAAUGAUUAAUAUAUAUACGCAUACCAACACCCACAGUGCAGCUACAUGUCUGGUGAGAGUUUGAUCAGUUGGUAAAAAGAAAAUACUGUUAAAUGAUUAAACCACAAAAGGGGGAAAUGGAAAAUUUACUGGGGUGAAAGCACAACACAUAGUGAAUUGCAUUAGAAACAUACGGGAAACUAUGGACAAAGUAUUGGAGUGCUUUAUCACCAUACCUUAAUAUUUUCAUAAACUCCUAAGAAGAAAUUCAGAAAAUGAAUUGCAUUAGAAACCUAUAAAGUUGCGCGAUUUUCUCACUUCACGAUUGCAAAUUACUUUCCUGCUUUCUAAACUUGCAUCUGGUUGCAGCACUAAAUAGAUUAUGGAGCUAAGUAAAAUAACCAGACAAGUUACGGUGGCUUCAACACAAUCUACUCUCCAAAAACUACUAUCAGCUGUACCUGACUCACUCCAUAAAUAAACAUUGAUAUAGAGUGUCAAGCUUGCAGAAUUUGAAUAUUUCACCUAAAAAAAGCAUCCAAAAAAUGGUGACCAUGUUUGCCAUGUUAUGUUAAAACAGUGUACAGAAAGUCAGCCAGGGCAUCUAGGAGGUCCUAGGCAAUUGAAUGAUACAAGGUGGAGACAAAUGUGGCAUUUUGCUACGAACAAUUUAUCAUGGAGAGGAUGCUUGGCUGAAUCUAAGGAGAGAUUUUCAGUAAACCCUUUGAACAUUCUCCAAUACAUGAGUGACAGCAUAUCUCAUUAACCAAUGCAAUCAGGCAAGCCAACUAAUUCAAAAAUAGAUCAAUUGUUCAUAAUCAUUUAGUGAAUACACACGGUUAGGCAUGCAGUACCUGUGAAACAUAGUUUCAUUCCAAUUCUGACCAAGCAAACAUGCAGUCAGGUAUUAUCCAAUUAAAAGUUUAAAACCAUACAUGUGUGUCUUGAAGAAAGAACCACAAGAAGUUCAAAGAGGAAUAGUCGCACACAAAUUGCAGCAAAGACUGGAUAGCGAACAUUGUACUUGAAAGUGAAUAACAAGCGACUCCUAGUAGGAGUAAGUGGUCUGAAUCUCAACUCAAAGAGGGAUAGACCUGCAGGCACUAGAUCGGACAAAAACUUUGUGGAUAUUGCCCCCAACGGAUUUUAGGCCAAACAGCACAUCAAACAGGUACAACAUUGCUAUCACCAUCCUAUUACCUUAAAUUGCACAAAACCACACCUCUGGUCAAAAUCACUAACAUAUAGAUGACUACAACAAACAACAAUAUGUCAAAAGACUAGGUGGCAUCACUACAAUUCUUCCCUACAGCAGCCAAGAACCCAAACCAGAUGCACUCCACCAGCAACACACUGACCAUUUUGCUCCAUUUGUGCCAAAUUAUGCAAACAGUGAGAAUGACAAGCACUGAUCCAACUAAAAUGAACAUGAAUAAAAAAUUACAAACAAAAGAAGAAACU